rnacentral:rRNA from 1 species
GUCGAACGCGAAAGUUCCCUUCGGGGAGCAAGUAGAGUGGCGCACGGGUGAGUAACACGUAGGUAAUCUACCUUUGGAUUGGGAAUAACACCGAGAAAUCGGUGCUAAUACCGAAUAAUGCAGCGGCACCUAAUGGUGACAGUUGUUAAAGCGGGGGAUCGCAAGACCUCGCGUCUAAAGAGGAGCCUGCGGCGGAUUAGCUAGUUGGUAAGGUAACGGCUUACCAAGGCGAUGAUCCGUAGCCGGCCUGAGAGGGCGGUCGGCCACACUGACACUGACAUACGGGUCAGACUCCUACGGGAGGCAGCAGUCUGGAAUUUUGGGCAAUGGGCGAAAGCCUGACCCAGCAACGCCGCGUGAAGGAUGAAAUCCCUCGGGAUGUAAACUUCGCAAGAACGGGAAGAAUAAGCCGGUGUUAACACCAUCGGCGAUGACGGUACUGUUUGUAAGCUCCGGCUAACUCCGUGCCAGCAGCCGCGGUAAUACGGGGGGAGCAAGCGUUGUUCGGAUUUACUGGGCGUAAAGGGCGCGUAGGCGGCCACCGCAAGUCGACUGUGAAAUCUCCGGGCUUAACUCGGAAAGGUCAGCCGAUACUGCGGGGCUAGAGUGCAGAAGGGGCAACUGGAAUUCUCGGUGUAGCGGUGAAAUGCGUAGAUAUCGAGAGGAACACCUGCGGCGAAGGCGGGUUGCUGGGCUGACACUGACGCUGAUUGUGCGAAAGCUAGGGGAGCGAACGGGAUUAGAUACCCCGGUAGUCCUAGCCUUAAACGAUGAAUGCUUGGUGUCUGGGGUUUUAUAGUCCCCGGGUGCCGUCGCUAACG